rnacentral:rRNA from 1 species
GACGAACGCUGGCGGCGUGCUUAACACAUGCAAGUCGAACGGAGUUCCUUGGAUAGAGGCUUCGGCCAAUUGAAAUGGAACUUAGUGGCGGACUGGUGAGUAACGCGUGAGGAACCUGCCUUUCAGAGGGGGACAACAGUUGGAAAGGGGUGCUAAUACCGAAUGACGUUUCCUGGUCGCAUGACCUGGAAACCAAAGGCCGGGCAACCGGUCACUGAAGGAUGGGCCUGCGUCUGAUUAGCUAGUUGGUGGGGUAACGGCCCACCAAGGCGACGAUCAGUAGCCGGUCUGAGAGGAUGAACGGCCACAUUGGGACUGAGACACGGCCCAAACCCCUACGGGAGGCAGCAGUGGGGAAUCUUCCGCAAUGGGCGCAAGCCUGACGGAGCAACGCCGCGUGAGUGAAGAAGGUUUUCGGAUCGUAAAGCUCUGUUGAGAGGGACGAGAGAUAUAAUCAGGAAAUGGGUUAUAGAGGACGGUACCUUUCGAGGAAGCCACGGCUAACUACGUGCCAGCAG